rnacentral:rRNA from 1 species
UACGUAGGGGGCUAGCGUUGUCCGGAAUCAUUGGGCGUAAAGAGCGUGUAGGCGGCCAGAUAGGUCUGCUGUGAAAACUCGAGGCUCAACCUCGAGCUGUCGGCGGAAACCAUUUGGCUAGAGUCCGGAAGAGGAGAGUGGAAUUCCUGGUGUAGCGGUGAAAUGCGCAGAUAUCAGGAAGAACACCUAUGGCGAAGGCAGCUCUCUGGGACGGUACUGACGCUGAGACGCGAAAGCGUGGGGAGCGAACAGG